rnacentral:rRNA from 1 species
UACGGAGGGUGCAAGCGUUAUCCGGAUUUACUGGGUUUAAAGGGUGCGUAGGUGGUUUGUUAAGUCUGAUGUGAAAGCCCUGGGCUCAACCUGGGAAUUGCAUUGGAUACUGGCAGGCUAGAGUGCGGUAGAGGGUAGUGGAAUUCCCGGUGUAGCAGUGAAAUGCGUAGAUAUCGGGAGGAACACCAGUGGCGAAGGCGACUACCUGGACCAGCACUGACACUGAGGCACGAAAGCGUGGGGAGCAAACAGG